AUUGAACGCUGGCGGCAUGCCUUACACAUGCAAGUCGAACGGUAACGGGCCUUCGGGUGCCGACGAGUGGCGAACGGGUGAGUAAUGUAUCGGAACGUACCUUUCAGUGGGGGAUAACGUAGCGAAAGUUACGCUAAUACCGCAUAUUCUGUGCGCAGGAAAGAAGGGGAUCGCAAGACCUUGCGCUGAUUAAGCGGCCGAUAUCAGAUUAGCUAGUUGGUGAGGUAAAGGCUCACCAAGGCGACGAUCUGUAGCGGGUCUGAGAGGAUGAUCCGCCACACUGGAACUGAGACACGGUCCAGACUCCGACGGGAGGCAGCAGUGGGGAAUUUUGGACAAUGGGGGCAACCCUGAUCCAGCCAUGCCGCGUGAGUGAAGAAGGCCUUCGGGUUGUAAAGCUCUUUCGGCCGGGAAGAAAUCGUAUCAGCUAAUACCUGGUGCGGAUGACGGUACCGGCAUAAGAAGCACCGGCUAACUACGUGCCAGCCGCCGCGGUAACAC
rnacentral:rRNA from 1 species